GAUGAACGCUGACAGAAUGCUUAACACAUGCAAGUCGACUUGUGGCGGACGGGUGAGUAACGCGUAAAGAACUUGCCUCAUAGUUAGGGACAACAUUUGGAAACGAAUGCUAAUACCUGAUACUGUGAGAGAGCUUUGCGUCCCCUUAGCUAAUUGGAGAGGUAACGGCUCACCAAGACGAUGAUGGUUCGCCGGCCUGAGAGGGUGAUCGGCCACAAGGUGAUUUGGACACCGCCCUUACUCCUACGGGGGGCAGCAGUGGGGAAUAUUGGACAAUGGACCAAAGUCUGAUCCAGCAAUUCGGUGUGCACAAUGAAGUUUUCGGAAUGUAAAGUGCUUUCAGUUAGGAAGCGGUACCAACAGAAGAAGGGACGGCUAAAUACGUGCCAGCAGCCGCGGUAAUAC
rnacentral:rRNA from 1 species